rnacentral:tRNA from 1 species
GCUUCCAUAGCUUAAAUUAAAGUGUAGCGCUGAAAACGCUAAGAUGAGUCCUAAAAAACCCUGAAAGCA